GAGUUUGAUCGUGGCUCAGAUUGAACGCUGGCGGCAUGCCUAACACACGCAAGUCGAACGGCAGCACUGGGAGCUUGCUCCCUGGUGGCGAGUGGCGGACGGGUGAGUAACGCGUAGGAAUCUGCCUCAUAGCGGGGGACAACUCGGGGAAACUCGAGCUAAUACCGCAUACUACUCGAGAGAGGAAAGCAGGGGACCUUCGGGCCUUGCACUAUGAGAUGAGCCUGCGUUGGAUUAGCUAGUUGGUAGGGGUAAAGGGCCUACCAAGGCGACGAUCCAUAACUGGUUUGUAGAGGAUGACCAGUCACACUGGGACUGAGACACGGCCCAGACUCCUACGGGAGGCAGCAGUGGGGAAGUAUUGGACAA
rnacentral:rRNA from 1 species